ACGGGUGAGUAACACGUGGGCAACCUGCCCUUGAGACUGGGAUAACUUCGGGAAACCGGAGCUAAUACCGGAUAAUAUGAGGAACCUCCUGGUUCUUUAUUGAAAGAUGGUUUCGGCUAUCACUUAAGGAUGGGCCCGCGGCGCAUUAGCUAGUUGGUGAGGUAACGGCUCACCAAGGCGACGAUGCGUAGCCGACCUGAGAGGGUGAUCGGCCACACUGGGACUGGGACACGGCCCAGACUCCUACGGGAGGCAGCAGUAGGGAAUCUUCCACAAUGGACGAAAGUCUGAUGGAGCAACGCCGCGUGAGUGAUGAAGGCCUUCGGGUCGUAAAGCUCUGUUGUUAGGGAAGAACAAGUGCGAGGGUAACUGCUCGCACCUUGACGGUACCUAACCAGAAAGCCACGGCUAACUACGUGCCAGCAGCCGCGGUAAUACGUAGGUGGCAAGCGUUAUCCGGAAUUAUUGGGCGUAAAGCGCGCGCAGGUGGUUUCUUAAGUCUGAUGUGAAAGCCCACGGCUCAACCGUGGAGGGUCAUUGGAAACUGGGGAACUUGAGUGCAGAAGAGGAAAGUGGAAUUCCA
rnacentral:rRNA from 1 species